CUUGAUGUUUUCCCCCAUUAGAAUGUAUUUAUGUGAUUAUUCAAGGCAAAGGAGUUGUUGAAUAUGGCUAUUCAUGUGGCGCAUCCAUCACUGCGAAUGAAAGGCGCUGAGGCAGACUGGACGCCCAUACAAUGCACAGACAGGGAGUGUAGCCACUCCUUGAUGAAGGCUCCGCAUCUGCACUGUCCAUUCUGCUCCAAGGACAGUCUCUUCACUGAUGAGAUUCUCCUCAAGGCGCACUACAGGGUCAAGCACGUGAAUAAAGGCAUCAACUUUGGGGGUCUUAAAAUAUUGCGGUGUUGCAGAUCCUGCAUCGUCCACGGCAUCAUUCACGGCCUACGUCCCCUGCUUGCAUGAAGAAGCAACGACCAACGAAGACAGGGAUAAAGCAGCCAAUGAUCUUUUCGGUAGGCUCUAUGAGAAAUGAAGGCAGAGAUGGACAGAGACUGUGGAAUCGAUGGAUUUGACCCAUUCCAUCUGUCGGGCAUGGCAAACCAUCAACAAGCUCACGGGAUGUCAACCAGAUCUUCACCACAUACACCGACCCAGCACCCAACAGUGCCAGCCUGGUAACACACCUCAUAGUCCCCCAGUCACAGCAGCCAUCGGAGACGAACACAUCAUCCCCGAGCUAUGAGCAGACUGACGGGCAGCAGCCGCAGAUCGAGUACCAGUACGCCUGCAUCAAUGAUCCGAGCCAGAGCACUGCCAAUG